ensembl:lncRNA
CUGGUUUUUGUUUUGCCCUUCCAAUCUUUUGUAUGUAAAACAGUUUGAGAUUUUGAAAUUCAAACAUACAUUAUUAUUAUUGUUAGUAGUAGUAGUAGGAGGAGGAGGAGGAGGAGAAGAAGGAGGAGGAGGAAUAGUAGUAGCAGUAGUAGUAAUAGGAGCAGUAAUAGUAGGAGUAAGAGUACUAGUAGGAAGAGAAGGAGAACUAAUAGGCGUAGUAUUGGUAUUACUAGUAGUAGUAGUAGUAGAAGGAGGAGGAGGUGGUGUACAAGUAGUAGUAGUAGUGGUAGUAGAACUAGGAGGAGUAGCAGGAGGAGGUCUAUGAAUAGUAGUGGUGGUAGUAGUAGUAAUAGUAGUAGUAGAAGGAGGAGGAGAAGGUGUAUGAGUAGUAGUAGUAGUAGAAGGAGGAGGUGCAGGAGUAAGAGUAGUAGUAGUACCUGAAGGAGGAAAAGGAGGUGUAUGACUACUAGUAGUAGUAGUAGUAGUGGUAGUAGUAGUAGGAGGAGGAGGAGAGGUAUAUGAGUAUGAGUAGUAGUAGUAGUAGUAGUAAUAGUAGAAGGAGGAGGAGGAGGAGCAGGAGGAGGUGUAUGAGUAUUAGUAGUAAUGGAGGUAAAAGUAGUAUGCAGCAAACAAUCUUGACUGCACUUGGUCUAAUUCUGAAGAUGAAAUCAAAAUGAAUACUGGACAUCUUAAUUGGGAACAAUUAAACACUGAUGAUUGUUUUAGUGUGUGUUUCGCCUGCCAGUGAAGUUCAGAGCUGGAGGUUGUUUGAGUUGUUUGAGACAAGAUUCCGUCUAAUCCAUUUAAUGCAGUGUCUUAAUUAGGUUGACAGACGUUUCUACUCUGCUUGAUGUUUAUUUUCAUUUUCUAUUCAUCCUCUUGUCUGUGUUGUUGAUUGUCAUCUCCUUUCAGCAUCCCUUAGGCCACCUAUGACAGUCAGAAUGGAACGGAACGAUUGAUUUGUCUCAGAAUAAAGUGGCAGAAAAACUGCAUCCAGAACCAGCAGUUCUACAAAUGUCACAUUUGACAUAUUAGUGAUGCUGAAGAUAGAUAAAGGGAAUGCACUGCUGUAAACGGAGAAUGUACCAGUAAUACGAGGACAAGCUGUGUUUUGUCUUAGCUUAAGACAAAAAA